UACGUAGGGUGCAAGCGUUAAUCGGAAUUACUGGGCGUAAAGCGUGCGCAGGCGGUUUUGUAAGUCUGUCGUGAAAGCCCCGGGCUCAACCUGGGAAUUGCGAUGGAGACUGCAAGGCUUGAAUCUGGCAGAGGGGGGUAGAAUUCCACGUGUAGCAGUGAAAUGCGUAGAGAUGUGGAGGAACACCGAUGGCGAAAGGCAGCCC
rnacentral:rRNA from 1 species